rnacentral:ribozyme from 13 species
AAACAGUGAUAUGGAACAGAGGGACUUGGGAAAAUCUCGGGUUCCCAAUCUUCUUUUUCUCUCUUCUUCUUUUCUUUUUCUUCUUCCUCUUCUCUCUC